rnacentral:rRNA from 1 species
AUUGAACGCUGGCGGCAGGCCUAACACAUGCAAGUCGAGCGGAGCGGCGGACGGGUGAGUAAUGCCUAGGAAUCUGCCUGGUAGUGGGGGAUAACGUCCGGAAACGGGCGCUAAUACCGCAUACUAUCAGAUGAGCCUAGGUCGGAUUAGCUAGUUGGUGGGGUAAAGGCCUACCAAGGCGACGAUCCGUAACUGGUCUGAGAGGAUGAUCAGCCAUACGGUGACUGAGACACGGCCAGGACUCCUAGUGGAGGCAUCAGUGGGGAAUAGUGCAUAAUGGGCUAAAGCCUGAGGCAGCAAUGCCGCGUGUAUGAAGAAGGCUUUCGGGUUGUAAAGUACUUUCAGUCGGGAGGCGUUCCCGACAGAAGAUGCCUCGGCUAACUCCGUGCCAGCAGCCGCGGUAAUAC